GGAGAGGUGGCCGAGUUGGCUGAAGGCGCUCGCCUGCUAAGUGAGUGUAGCGGGUUAAACUGCUACCGAGGGUUCGAAUCCCUCCCUCUCCGCCA
rnacentral:tRNA from 1 species